UAGGGAAUCUUCCGCAAUGGACGAAAGUCUGACGGAGCAACGCCGCGUGAGUGAAGAAGGUUUUCGGAUCGUAAAACUCUGUUGUAAGGGAAGAACAAGUACGUUAGUAACUGAACGUACCUUGACGGUACCUUACCAGAAAGCCACGGCUAACUACGUGCCAGCAGCCGCGGUAAUACGUAGGUGGCAAGCGUUAUCCGGAAUUAUUGGGCGUAAAGCGCGCGUAGGCGGUCUCUUAAGUCUGAUGUGAAAGCCCCCGGCUCAACCGGGGAGGGUCAUUGGAAACUGGGAGACUUGAGUGCAGAAGAGGAGAGUGGAAUUCCAUGUGUAGCGGUGAAAUGCGCAGAGAUAUGGAGGAACACCAGUGGCGAAGGCGGCUCUCUGGUCUGUAACUGACGCUGAGGUGCGAAAGCGUGGGGAUCAAACAGGAUUAGAUACCCUGGUAGUCCACGCCGUAAACGAUGAGUGCUAAGUGUUGGGGGGUUUCCGCCCCUCAGUGCUGCAGCUAACGCAUUAAGCACUCCGCCUGGGGAGUACGGUCGCAAGACUGAAACUCAAAGGAAUUGACGGGGACCCGCACAAGCGGUGGAGCAUGUGGUUUAAUUCGAAGC
rnacentral:rRNA from 1 species